CGUGGAAGCAAAAUACGCACAAUUAAAUAGUGAAGGAUGCGGCUUUCAAAAGCCAAUGACCCGGCAAGAAGACGUCCGGUCAUAUCCGCAUUGUUGGUGCAAACCAACUGGCGGGCAUCAUGGGCACAGAAAUCAAAUUUCAAGUCGUCAUUCAGUGUACCUUCAAAUGGUACACCGUCACUGGGUAAUUUGGUUAAGUCAUGGA
rnacentral:lncRNA from 1 species